CGCGGCCUUCACAGCGACCAGAUACUGCAAUAUGAGUGUAAUGAACACGGACGAACUACCACUAAAAUAGACAACAAAAAAUGCAUAUGCCGUCUAAAGGAAGAGAUUAAGAUGUUGAAGGAGCGUAAUAGGAAAUUGGAAGUGGAGCUGGGCGGGCGCAUCUGUCAACUGGAGGCGGCGUGCGAGCAGGCCAGGGGUCGGGACCAUCGAGCCGCACGGGAC